AUGUGGUUUAAUUCGACGCAACGCGCAGAACCUUACCUAGGCUUGACAUCCGGAUUUGCUGGAAACAGUGAAGUGCUUUCAUUAGAAAGAGCCCGGUGACAGGUGCUGCAUGGGCUGUCGUCAGCUCGUGUCGUGAGAUGUUGGGUUAAGUCCCGCAACGAGCGCAACCCUCGCCUUUAGUUGCCAGCAUUCAGUUGGGCACUCUAAAGGGACUGCCGGUGUCAAACCGGAGGAAGGUGGGAUGACGUCAAGUCCUCAUGGCCUUUAUGUCUAGGGCUACACACGUACUACAAUGGCAGGUACAAAGGGCAGCGACACAGCGAUGUGAUGCGAAUCCCGAAAAAGCCUGUCUCAGUCCGGAUCGGAGUCUGCAACUCGACUCCGUGAAGUUGGAAUCGCUAGUAAUCGUGGAUCAGCAUGCCACGGUGAAUACGUUCCCGGGCCUU
rnacentral:rRNA from 1 species